UCCCAUAUAGUCCAGUGGUUAGGAUACUCCGCUUUCACCGGAGAGACCCGAGUUCGAACCUCGGUGUGGGAA